AUGAAAUUGUUCCAAGGAGUUGUUUUGAUGAUUUUCUGGCUUUCAGUAGACUGGGUGAACAGCCAAAAGAUGGAGCAGAACCCUCAGUCCUUGAUCACCAUGGAGGGUGAAAAGAUCAUUUUGACUUGUAACUAUACAAAUUACUCUCCAGUCACCUUUCAGUGGUACAGAAAAGAUCCAGAAAGAGGUCUUGUCUUCUUGCUGCUGAUACGUGAAAAUGAGGGUGAAAAACAAGCAGGAAGACUGAAGGUCAUUUUUGAUCCAGCCAGCAAACAGAGUUCCUUGCAGAUCUCAGCCUCCAAGCCUGAAGACUCAUCCAUCUACUUCUGUGCUGCUGAUACACAGUCUGGCCCUGUGACUUACUUCCUGUACACAAACCUUAUUAUCCAUUCUUAG